UUACUAUAGUAAAAAACUUAUUACAUUUAUAUAUAUUCACAAACCAUAUCUGAAUUUUUAAUUAUUUUCUAUGUAAAGGUUAUGUAAUUUUUCUAUGUUGUUAUAAUUAGUCAGACUUAAAAUUAAAUGAAACAGUCAAGUAGUCAACUACUGUAUUUGAGUUAUAGAAUAACAGAAUAAGAAAGGUAUUAGUCAAAAAAAAA
rnacentral:lncRNA from 1 species